rnacentral:lncRNA from 1 species
CGCCGCUUCACAUGUCAGGAAGCCUCUGGAAAACUCUGAACCCAGGAGACAGCAUGAGAGCGAAAGAAGCAACCACGGCUCUGACCUCACAGAGCCCAGCCAGAGGCUCAGCGAGCCCUGGGGUCCCCGGGGCCGCUGCUUGGCUACGCUCCAACCUCCUCUUUGUCAGUCGAGAAGACCCAGGUCCCAGGCCGGGACGGUCCUCUGGGCCAGGCAGUGGCACCAAACCAACCACCGGAGCCAAGCCACGCUUCUGCCCUGCGUGGUGUUUAUUUGUGGCUUUAUAAUUUCAACACACCUUAAGUGCCCAGGUAUUUCAGCCUGCGCGUAAUGAAGCGGCUACUUUGGAAAUAAAUCGGGUGCAGGCUCCAUGGCCCCCGGCCCAGCCACAGGUAAGCGUCGCAGGCCAGCACAGCCUGGCUGGCACUGGCGUGUUUAUUGCACUGGCCAUCUCUCAGGGCAGCGGUUAGCACAAUGCCCCUUUGUGCUCCUGAAAGACUCCUGUGUUGUAGGUGCAGCUUUGUGUACAGUGAGAAGAGUCAUUACAAUAACAGUAAAUACUCCCCUUUGAGGAACGGGACAAAGGGCAUUUCCGCUGGAUCUUGCUGGUGGGGGGUGGGGGCCAGCCUGUCCCCCUUGGACGGGCACCCAGCCCUCCGAAUAGGUGUCUCGGACACACCUGGACCUCCCGCGCUGGGGCAGCCAGGUGGUUCCCAAGAGGUCAGCUGCCCCGAGAGCCACCCAGUGGCAGUGAGCCCACACCUGUUUCAGGGCCACCCGGGGUGGCCACCAACCAGCUUUUGGUUUCUCUUCCAGGAAGGGCCAACCCUUGGAAGAAGUGUGGGGCUGAACAAACAGUGCUCCAGGUGUCCCAGGCGUGAGUCACCGAGAUGUUAUCAAGAGGGAGAAAGUCCUGACAGGGUUGCCAGUGAGUCACCGUGCCCCAUCCCAGCCCAGCGAGACACACGGAAAGGAGGGCAGCACUGUAAGCACAGAUGGAAGGAAUCACAGCCUAGAAACCCCGCCUCGGCUUAGGGCUCAAUAUGCCAGGGACAGGACCGGCUGUGGGCUGGGUGUUGGGUGCAGCUUGCCACCCGGGACAUCGCGGAGUCUGGGGUUGAGCCCUGCCUGCCGCCCCGUUGCAGCUUCCUGCUGGCGGUGCAAAAUCAGAGGCAGCACACUGGAGCGCCUGCCACCCACGUGUGAGACCCACGUUGAGUUCUGAGCUCCGGGCUUCAGCCCAUCCCCAUCCUCGCUGUUGUGGGCACUUGGGAGUGGACGGAACUAGCAGAUGGAAGAUCUCUCUAUCGCUGUUUGUCUGUCGCUCCCUCCCUUUCAAUAAAACGAAAGCAAAUGUAAACA